rnacentral:tRNA from 1 species
GGAUUGUGGCUCAGUGGUAGAGCACUUGCCUACCAUGCAUGAGGCACUGGGUUCGAUCCUCAACACCA